rnacentral:rRNA from 1 species
UACGUAGGGGGGCUAGCGUUGUCCGGAUUUAUUGGGCGUAAAGAGCGUGUAGGCGGCCAGGUAGGUCUGGUGUGAAAACUCGAGGCUUAACCUCGAGAUGUCAUCGGAAACCAUCUGGCUAGAGUCCGGAAGAGGAGAGUGGAAUUCCUGGUGUAGCGGUGAAAUGCGCAGAUAUCAGGAAGAACACCCGUGGCGAAGGCGGCUCUCUGGGACGGUACUGACGCUGAGACGCGAAAGCGUGGGGAGCGAACAGG